UACAGAGGGUGCAAGCGUUGUUCGGAAUUAUUGGGCGUAAAGCGCGUGUAGGCGGCUUUGCAAGUCGGGUGUGAAAGCCCUCAGCUCAACUGAGGAAGUGCGCCCGAAACUGCAGAGCUUGAGUGCCGGAGAGGGUGGCGGAAUUCCCCAAGUAGAGGUGAAAUUCGUAGAUAUGGGGAGGAACACCUGAGGCGAAGGCGGCUUGCUGGGCAUGAUCUGACGCUGAGGCGCGAAAGCGUGGGGAGCGAACAGG
rnacentral:rRNA from 1 species